rnacentral:rRNA from 1 species
UUACGGCUCAGUAACACGUCAAUAAUCUACCCUCUGGUCUGGAAUAACCUCGGGAAACUGAGGAUAACGCCGGAUAGGGUAUUGGUACUGGAAUGUCUUUUACUUUAAAAGCAAUGCCAGAGGAUGAGUUGGCGGCGGAUUAGGUAGUUGGCGAGGUAAAGGCUCACCAAGCCGAAUAUCCGUAGGGGCCUUGACAGAGGUUGCCCCGAGAAGGACACUGAGAAACUGGUCCUAGCCCUACGGGGUGCAGCAGGCGCGAGAACUUUACAAUGCACGAAAGUGUGAUAAGGGAAUCCCAAGUGCUUAUGUUUAACAUAGGCUUUUGCCAAGAGUAAAUAUCUUGGCGAAUAAGUGGUGGGUAAGACCGGUGCCAGCAGCCGCGGUAACCCCGGCGCCACGAGUGGCAAUCACGUUUAUUGGGCCUAAAGCGUCCGUAGCCUGUCUUGUAAGUCUUUUGUGAAAUUGUUGCGCUUAACGCAACGGUGUGCAAAAGAUACUGCAAGACUUGGAAUUGGGAUGGGUCAGAAGUAUUCCUGGGGGAGCGGUAAAAUGUUAUAAUCCCAGGAAGACUACCAGUGGCGAAAGCGUCUGACUAGAACAACUUCGACGGUGAGGGACGAAAGCUAGGGGAGCAAAACGGAUUAGAUACGGUUCUUUGUGUUAAGCAGAAAAAGCUAUGAUUGCUUUUGCUUAUCUAUUACUACUGCAGUCAGUGCGAGAAUCACAAAGAGCUGCUAAUUACCCGAGUAGUCCUAGCCGUAAACGCUGUGAGCAAGGUGUUGCGCAUCCUUCGUGGAUGCGCGGUGUCGAAGAGAAGUCGUUU